rnacentral:rRNA from 1 species
UACGGAGGGGGCUAGCGUUAUUCGGAAUUACUGGGCGUAAAGCGCACGUAGGCGGAUUGGAAAGUCAGAGGUGAAAUCCCAGGGCUCAACCUUGGAACUGCCUUUGAAACUCCCAGUCUUGAGGUCGAGAGAGGUGAGUGGAAUUCCGAGUGUAGAGGUGAAAUUCGUAGAUAUUCGGAGGAACACCAGUGGCGAAGGCGGCUCACUGGCUCGAUACUGACGCUGAGGUGCGAAAGCGUGGGGAGCAAACAGG